rnacentral:lncRNA from 1 species
AUGAGGACUCACCUGCUUUACUUUCUUUUGGUUCAGCUUUCUAAAGCCCACACUGAGUUGGUGUUACAGCGUCUGAUGGAGGGGGAGUCUGUGGGGCUCUCCUGCUUCCCUCAGAGGGAUCAUGGCUCUCUGGUGGGCCUCCACCUGUACCACCGCGGCGUCCAGAGCCAAACCACCCUGCUGUCUGUCGCCGAGGAUGGACGGGUCAGGGUGGACCCGGAGCUGAGGGCGCGUCUGAAGCUGCAGGGAAACCUUAACUCCUUGCAGAUCAACGUGAGCAUCUCCCACCUACGACCGAGCGACACUGGAGUCUAUGUGUGGGAGCUGACUUAUGGAGACAACAGCUCUGACUGGAGAGUCCACAGUGGGAGGACAUUGCUGCUGCUGGUUGAAGGGGCAGAGAAGGCGUGUCAGAGCUCCAACGCGCUGCUCUUGACCAUGGCUGCAGCUGCUGGCCUUCUUCUGCUCACACUCGCCUGGAUUGCUGCAGAAACAUGGGUGAAGAAGCAUCGUUAUCCUCACCCCAAACCUCAUUCUUCCAUCUAUGAGGAAAUGAGCAGGAAGCAGCGGCGCUCAGGAACCCCCCCAUGUAACCCGGACGCCCACCCGCAGCUGGAGGAAGCCAGCGCCCCCGUGUACGCCAACACCGACAUCCGACAAGCGCCGGACAACUACUACGCCUGUCCCCGCCUGCCCGCCCUCAGGCGCUGA